AGAUUAAGUUAUUAAGGGCGCACGGUGGAUGCCUUGGCACUAGAAGCCGAUGAAGGACGUUACUAACGACGAUAUGCUUUGGGGAGCUGUAAGUAAGCUUUGAUCCAGAGAUUUCCGAAUGGGGAAACCCAGCAUGAGUUAUGUCAUGUUAUCGAUAUGUGAAUACAUAGCAUAUCAGAAGGCACACCCGGAGAACUGAAACAUCUUAGUACCCGGAGGAAGAAAAAGAAAAUUCGAUUCCCUUAGUAGCGGCGAGCGAAACGGGAAGAGCCCAAACCAACAAGCUUGCUUGUUGGGGUUGUAGGACACUCUAUACGGAGUUACAAAGGACGACAUUAGACGAAUCAUCUGGAAAGAUGAAUCAAAGAAGGUAAUAAUCCUGUAGUCGAAAAUGUUGUCUCUCUUGAGUGGAUCCUGAGUACGACGGAACACGUGAAAUUCCGUCGGAAUCUGGGAGGACCAUCUCCUAAGGCUAAAUACUCUCUAGUGACCGAUAGUGAACCAGUACCGUGAGGGAAAGGUGAAAAGCACCCCGGAAGGGGAGUGAAAUAGAACCUGAAACCGUGUGCUUACAAGUAGUCAGAGCCCGUUAAUGGGUGAUGGCGUGCCUUUUGUAGAAUGAACCGGCGAGUUACGAUUUGAUGCAAGGUUAAGCAGUAAAUGUGGAGCCGUAGCGAAAGCGAGUCUGAAUAGGGCGUUUAGUAUUUGGUCGUAGACCCGAAACCAGGUGAUCUACCCUUGGUCAGGUUGAAGUUCAGGUAACACUGAAUGGAGGACCGAACCGACUUACGUUGAAAAGUGAGCGGAUGAACUGAGGGUAGCGGAGAAAUUCCAAUCGAACCUGGAGAUAGCUGGUUCUCUCCGAAAUAGCUUUAGGGCUAGCCUCAAGUGAUGAUUAUUGGAGGUAGAGCACUGUUUGGACGAGGGGCCCCUCUCGGGUUACCGAAUUCAGACAAACUCCGAAUGCCAAUUAAUUUAACUUGGGAGUCAGAACAUGGGUGAUAAGGUCCGUGUUCGAAAGGGAAACAGCCCAGACCACCAGCUAAGGUCCCAAAAUAUAUGUUAAGUGGAAAAGGAUGUGGCGUUGCCCAGACAACUAGGAUGUUGGCUUAGAAGCAGCCAUCAUUUAAAGAGUGCGUAAUAGCUCACUAGUCGAGUGACACUGCGCCGAAAAUGUACCGGGGCUAAACAUAUUACCGAAGCUGUGGAUUGUCCUUUGGACAAUGGUAGGAGAGCGUUCUAAGGGCGUUGAAGCAUGAUCGUAAGGACAUGUGGAGCGCUUAGAAGUGAGAAUGCCGGUGUGAGUAGCGAAAGACGGGUGAGAAUCCCGUCCACCGAUUGACUAAGGUUUCCAGAGGAAGGCUCGUCCGCUCUGGGUUAGUCGGGUCCUAAGCUGAGGCCGACAGGCGUAGGCGAUGGAUAACAGGUUGAUAUUCCUGUACCACCUAUAAUCGUUUUAAUCGAUGGGGGGACGCAGUAGGAUAGGCGAAGCGUGCGAUUGGAUUGCACGUCUAAGCAGUAAGGCUGAGUAUUAGGCAAAUCCGGUACUCGUUAAGGCUGAGCUGUGAUGGGGAGAAGACAUUGAGUCUUCGAGUCGUUGAUUUCACACUGCCGAGAAAAGCCUCUAGAUAGAAAAUAGGUGCCCGUACCGCAAACCGACACAGGUAGUCAAGAUGAGAAUUCUAAGGUGAGCGAGCGAACUCUCGUUAAGGAACUCGGCAAAAUGACCCCGUAACU
rnacentral:rRNA from 1 species